GAGCCAUUGUUGUGUAGGAUAAGGAGAGAUCUGAAUGGAAUUUUACUUCCUGGUAUAAAUAGUAAUAGUAGGGUGUCAUUAUCUGCCUAUGCGGACGAUAUCACAGUCUUUAUCACGAGUCAAAAUGAUGUUGACAUUUUAACGGGAAUUAUUAGAAAAUAUGAGAGGGCAUCUUCCGGAAAAUUGAACUGGGGGAAAAGUGAAGGGCUUAUUAUUGGGCAGUGGGGAGGGUCAGGACCUCCAAAAUUACCGGGUGGAUUGAUGUGGGUAAGAGAAGGGUUAAAAAUUUUAGGAGUUUUUUUAGGAAAUACAGCAUUUAAAGGAAAAAAUUGGGAGAGAAUGCUGGAAAAGGUGAAUGCUCGAUUGUCUAAAUGGAAAUGUCUAUUACCACAAUUGUCAUACAGAGGAAGAGUUCUGGUGGUAAACAACCUGGCUGCCUCUAUCUUGUGGCAUAGACUCGUGGUACUGGAGCCUCCUGAUGAGCUGAUCCGCAGGAUACAAAGGACUUUUGUGAAUUUCUUCUGGAGUGGAGAACACUGGAUUCGCGCAGCAGCGCUGUAUCUUCCAGUUGAAGAAGGAGGCCAAGGUCUAGUGGAUGUGAGGAGCAGAAUCUGUGCUUUCAGAAUCCAAGCAGCACAGAGACUUCUCUACCAUAAGAACUUGUUUUGGUCUCAGACUGCAAAGGCAAUUCUUCAAAAAACUGGGGGUCUUGGAUUGGAUAAACAUUUAUUUUUAAUGAACCUGGAGAAGAUAGACAUGUCUGAGCUUUCGCAUUUUUACAGGACAAUGUUGCAUUCAUGGAGAACUGUUUUUAAAGUUGAAAGAGAGGUUGAUGAAGAUGGGAGCUGGGUUCUAGAGGAACCAUUGUUUUUUAAUUCAAUGAUUCAAACAAGACUUUUGUCUUCUGUAAGUGUAAGUGCAUGCUUACAGAGAAAGGGCAUUGUCAAGCUGGGACACCUCCUGAAUAGAGAUGGAUGGAAGUCGUUGGAGGAGCUUAAAGAAAUGACUGGCUUAAGAUCUUCACGCUUGACAGAAAAGUUGAUGGAGGGGAUUGUCAAUACCUUACCAAGUAGUUACAGAAAGUACAUUGGGAGAGGAACUUUGAUGGACAUGACGAAUGAACAGGAGCUCCCAGGAAUUAAAAUCUCUUAUCUUAUAAAGAC
ensembl:lncRNA